rnacentral:rRNA from 1 species
UCUUUGGAACAGAGACUUCUCGCAAGAGACUUGAGUCGAGGUGCUGCAUGGCUGUCGUCAGCUCGUGUCGUGAGAUGUUGGGUUAAGUCCCGCAACGAGCGCAACCCUUGUCCUGUGUUGCCACUCCGUAAGGAAGCACUCUCAGGAGACCGCCAGCGAUAAGUUGGAGGAAGGUGGGGAUGAUGUCAAGUCAUCAUGGCCUUUAUGUCCAGGGCUACACACGUGCUACAAUGGACGGUACAAAGCGCUGCAAACCCGCGAGGGGGAGCUAAUCGCAAAAAACCGUUCUCAGUUCGGAUCGCAGGCUGCAACUCGCCUGCGUGAAGCUGGAAUCGCUAGUAAUGGUGUAUCAGAACGAUACCGUGAAUACGUUCCCGGGCCUUGUACACACCGCCCGUCACAUCACGAAAGUGGAUUGUACUAGAAGUCCCAAUUCAACGGGCCCAAGGUAUGACUCAUGAUUGGGGUGAAGUCGUAACAAGGUAGCCGU